ACUCAAAGGAAUUGACGGGGGCCCGCACAAGCGGUGGAGCGUGUGGUUUAAUUCGACGCUAAGCGAAGAACCUUACCAGGGUUUGACAUCCCGGUCGUAGUUCUUGGAAACAAGAACGUCAGUCCGGCUGGACUGGUGACAGGUGCUGCAUGGUCGUCGUCAGCUCGUGUCGUGAGAUGUUGGGUUAAGUCCCGCAACGAGCGCAACCCUUGUCGUGUGUUGGAUUUUUCACGCGAGACUGCCUCGGUUAACGAGGAGGAAGGUGGGGAUGACGUCAGAUCAGCAUGGCCCUUAUACCCUGGGCGACACACGCGCUACAAUGGCGGAUACAAUGGGUUGCAAAACCGCGAGGUGGAGCUAAUCCCAUCAAAGUCCGUCUCAGUUCGGAUUGGAGGCUGCAACUCGCCUCCAUGAAGCCGGAAUCGCUAGUAAUCGCGGAUCAGCCAUGCCGCGGUGAAUACGUUCUCGGGCCUUGUACACACCGCCCGU
rnacentral:rRNA from 1 species